rnacentral:lncRNA from 1 species
CCUCCGUACAGACAGCAGCAAGAUGGCUGGAAGGCUUGGUCUAGAAACUCCAAGGAAGAAAGGUUGAUGAAAGCAAAUAUGUAGAAGAGAAAUGGUAGCGGCACAAGGAUUAGGACCUCUUCUAUAUUUGAUGGAAUCUGAAAAAAAGAUCUGUGAAGGAAUAUGGUGUCGUACUAGGGUUAGUACCUCCCCUAAACUUAUGGAGAAGAAGAAGAGAG